UCCUUUUUGCCACACAUCCGGUAUAUGGUUAGUGACGCUGACUGCGGUGCUGUAGAUCCUGUGUUCAAAUCCCGGAGAAGGAA